rnacentral:rRNA from 1 species
AGUGAACGCUGGCGGUAGGCCUAACACAUGCAAGUCGAACGGCAGCACAGUAAGAGCUUGCCCUUACGGGUGGCGAGUGGCGGACGGGUGAGGAAUACAUCGGAAUCUACUUUUUCGUGGGGGAUAACGUAGGGAAACUUACGCUAAUACCGCAUACGACCUACGGGUGAAAGCAGGGGAUCUUCGGACCUUGCGCGAUUGAAUAAGCCGAUGUCGGAUUAGCUAGUUGGCGGGGUAAAGGCCCACCAAGGCGACGAUCCGUAGCUGGUCUGAGAGGAUGAUCAGCCACACUGGAACUGAGACACGGUCCAGACUCCUACGGGAGGCAGCAGUGGGGAAUAUUGGACAAUGGGCGCAAGCCUGAUCCAGCCAUACCGCGUGGGUGAAGAAGGCCUUCGGGUUGUAAAGCCCUUUUGUUGGGAAAGAAAAGCAGCAGGUUAAUACCCCGCUGUUCUGACGGUACCCAAAGAAUAAGCACCGGCUAACUUCGUG